AUUCUUCCUGGUCAUAGAGCAGAGAGGGCUCCACUGCACCAUGAUCUCAGUGGAGUAGUCUGGGGUACCUAGCAAUGACACAUGCAGAGUGGCUCCAGGUCAUCAAGUUGGCCUUGUCUUCAAGGCCACUUGUCACUCAGAAGAAACCACGGCAGUAGCAGCUUUCCUACCACCCCAGGUCUGUGAGAGGGCAGAGCACAAUUCCAGAGUUUACUACUCAGCUGCUUUUCAAAAUUCUGUCUGUUAAGUCCCCUCACUCACUCCAGAACAAGGGCCCCAAUCUCUUGCCCAAGACAGAAAUGUCCAUACAGCCACGCUGUCGGGUUGCCAAUGAACAGAUGAGUUUGUAUGAGCCCAGAUAAAAAAUGGCAUCUUGCUCUCAGUCCUAGAUCUGGAAAAAUGCCUGCAGCUUCUGGUGUCAUUCCCUUUCAGUGCCUCCAAGCCUCUCCCCAAGUUAGCACCAGCACUUGGGAGAAAGUACUCUCCCUCAGCCUGGGAUGCUUCACUCUUCGGUGGAAAGAUUUUGUCUUCUACCUGAGGAAGAGAGUGAGACAGAGUAACAUAUACAUAGAACAACAAGGAUGGUCGUGUGAAAGAAAAAUCAAAGGAACAGUGUAAUAGAAAGACAGUCGAGCUGGCACUCCAACUGCUGGAGCUGCUCCUGUCUAUCCUGUCAAUACCCAGCUGUGUUAUGCCUUCUCACUCCAUCAAAACAUAAAAUAAAUAAAAGAAAAACGUAUGUGCUUGUAAUGAACAGACUCUAAAAGGGCCUUCAAUUAUACUCACCUUUUUGUAUUCAUAUUCUUGUGUAUUCCCCUUCCUUUGAGCAUGAGUGGGACCUGUAACUUGCUUCCAACCAGUGGGACAUGGCAAAAGUAAUGAGAUGUCACUUAUACAGUUACAUUAUAUAAGAAAUAGUAACUGUCUUGCAAAGAGAUUCCCUCCCUUGCUGGCUUGGCUAAAGCAGGUGACAAUGUUGAGGAGUUCCGCAUGGCAAGAAACUGAGAGUAGCCUCCAGGUAGUAGGCAGAAAGAAAGUGAGGCCCUCAAUCUAACAGCCUUUCAGGAAUUAAAUUCUGCCAACAACCACAUGAACUUAGAAAUAAAUCUUUCCCCGUUCAGACCUUCAGAUGAGAACUCAGCC
rnacentral:lncRNA from 10 species